rnacentral:lncRNA from 1 species
UCUGUAACUCCAGUUCUAGGAGAUUCCAGUGCUGUCUUCUGACCGCUAAGGCACCAGGUAUGUAUGUGGUGCAGAUAUACAUGUAAUCAAAUCAAGCACAUUAAAAAAAUCAUAAAGGAAAAUAAAUAAAAAAUCCCCUUAUUCAGGAAGCUCUGUGAGUUCUAGGUCCACCAGAGAUACAGUAAGACCCAGUAUCAAAACAAAACACCUUUUUAAAAAAGAUUAAGUUCAGCCUGGCGUUGGUGGUGCCCGCCUUUAAUCCCAGCACUUGAGAGGCAGAGGCAGGUGGAUCUCUGUGAGUUAGAGACCAGCCAGUCUACAAGAGCUAGUUCCAGGACAGCCUCCAAAGCCACAGAGAAACCCGGUCUCAAAAAACAAAACAAACAAAAAACCAAACAAAAAAGAUUAAGUUCAAGGCCAGCCUGAUCUACAGAGCAAGUUCUAAGACAGCCAUGGCUGUUUCACAGAGAAACCUUGUCUUGGAAAAAAAUAAAAAUUUACUUAUGGGUAUGUAUGUUUGUUCACAUGUGGAAUGCCUGUGAAGGCCAGAAAAUUCAAUCCCUUGGCGCUAUAAUUUCAGGCUGCCAGACCAAACGCUGGUCUUCUGGAAAAGCAAUAUCAGUGCUGUCUGCCUACAUGCCAGAAGAGGGCAUCAUAUCCUACUAUAGAUGGUUGUGAGCCACCAUGUGGUUGUUAGGAAUUAAACCCAGAACUUUCUGGAAAAGUAGCCAGUGCUCUUAACUAAAACCAUCUCUCCAACCCCAAAAUUAUUCAAAUGAAAUUAAAACAAAGGGUACUUAUGUAUGGUCUUCCUUAUGUGGGAAAAAAUGUUCAUUACAUAUAUAAGAAAUGGAGCUAGAUGAUUGUAGUGUACACCUUUAAUCCCAGCCUUGGGGAGGCAGAGACAGGCAGAUCUCUGAGAGUUCCAGGACAGCCAGGGUUACAGAGAAACUCUGGAGAGCACUGGCAGUUCUUCCAGAGGACCUGGGCUUGAUUCCAGAACCACAUGGAAUAUGGAACUCCAGUUCCAGGGGAUCUGAUACCCUUUUCUAGCCUCCAUGGGUACCAGGCAGGUAUCUUGUACAAACAGCAGACAAAACACCAAUACAAUACAUAAAAAUCUACAAUAACAACUCAAAAAGUAGCAAGGUAGCUAAAACGUAAUAAUACUUGUGAGACAAACGCAUGAGAAUGCCAAGUGUACCAGCCUGGGCUAGUGAUGCCCGAGCUGGUGUGAUCCCAUCAAAACAACAGCAAUGGUCAUUAAAGCGUUGACUUCUAGCUGGGCAGUGGUGGUGCAAACCUUUAAUCCCAGCACUUGGGAGGCAGACGUAGGAAGAUUUCUGAGUUCGAAGAAAGCCAGAACUACACAGAAAAACCCUGUCUUGAAAAACCAGAAAAAUUGGAAAAAAACAAAGUUGACUUCUAAGAAUGGCCACAGGACAAAGC